ACGUCCAGCAGCGCGGUAAACGUAGGGGCAAGCGUGUCCGGAAUUAUGGGCGUAAGGGCUCGCAGGCGGUUUCUUAAGUCUGAUGUAAAGCCCCCGGCUCAACCGGGGAGGGUCAUUGGAAACUGGGGAACUUGAGUGCAGAAGAGGAGAGUGGAAUUCCACGUGUAGCGGUGAAAUGCGUAGAGAUGUGGAGGAACACCAGUGGCGAAGGCGACUCUCUGGUCUGUAACUGACGCUGAGGAGCGAAAGCGUGGGGAGCGAACAGGAUUAGAUACCCUGGUAGUCCACGCCGUAAACGAUGAGUGCUAAGUGUUAGGGGGUUUCCGCCCCUUAGUGCUGCAGCUAACGCAUUAAGCACUCCGCCUGGGGAGUACGGUCGCAAGACUGAAACUCAAAGGAAUUGACGGGGGCCCGCACAAGCGGUGGAGCAUGUGGUUUAAUUCGAAGCAACGCGAAGAACCUUACCAGGUCUUGACAUCCUCUGACAAUCCUAGAGAUAGGACGUCCCCUUCGGGGGCAGAGUGACAGGUGGUGCAUGGUUGUCGUCAGCUCGUGUCGUGAGAUGUUGGGUUAAGUCCCGCAACGAGCGCAACCCUUGAUCUUAGUUGCCAGCAUUCAGUUGGGCACUCUAAGGUGACUGCCGGUGACAAACCGGAGGAAGGUGGGGAUGACGUCAAAUCAUCAUGCCCCUUAUGACCUGGGCUACACACGUGCUACAAUGGACAGAACAAAGGGCAGCGAAACCGCGAGGUUAAGCCAAUCCCACAAAUCUGUUCUCAGUUCGGAUCGCAGUCUGCAACUCGACUGCGUGAAGCUGGAAUCGGUAGUAAUCGCGGAUCAGCAUGCCGCGGUGAAUACGUUACCGGGCCUUGCCGCACCGCCCGUCACUCCGCGAGAGUUCGUAACUCAUGAAGUCGGCGAGGUACCCCAUAGGACCAGCCCAGGAAGGUUGACAGAUGAUCGGGGGAAGUCGCUCAAC
rnacentral:rRNA from 1 species